GAUGAACGCUGGCGGCGUGCUUAAUACAUGCAAGUCGAACGAAGCGCCUCUCCCGAAGAUAGACCCAGCUUGCUGGGGAUUGAUUCACCUGAGGUGACUGAGUGGCGGACGGGUGAGUAACGCGUGGGUAACCUGCCUUAUACAGGGGGAUAACAGUUGGAAACGACUGCUAAUACCGCAGAAGCGCACAGUACCGCAUGGUACAGUGUGAAAAACUCCGGUGGUAGAAGAUGGACCCGCGUCUGAUUAGCUAGUUGGUGAGGUAACGGCUUACCAAGGCAACGAUCAGUAGCCGACUUGAGAGAGUAAUCGGCCACAUUGGGACUGAGACACGGCCCAAACUCCUACGGGAGGCAGCAGUAGGGAAUAUUGCACAAUGGGGGAAACCCUGAUGCAGCGACGCCGCGUGAAGGAUGAGGUAUUUCGGUAUGUAAACUUCUAUCAGCAAGGAAGAAAAUGACGGUACUUGACUAAGAAGCCCCGGCUAAAUACGUGCCAGCAGCCGCAGUAA
rnacentral:rRNA from 1 species